CCUACGGGGCGCAGCAGUGGGGGAUAUUGCACAAUGGGGGGAACCCUGAUGCAGUGACGCCGCGUGGGUGAAGAAGCGCCUCGGCGCGUAAAGCCCUGUCAGCAGGGAAGAAAAUGACGGUACCUGAAGAAGAAGCCCCGGCUAACUACGUGCCAGCAGCCGCGGUAAUACGUAGGGGGCAAGCGUUAUCCGGAUUUACUGGGUGUAAAGGGGGCGCAGACGGCGAUGCAAGCCAGGAGUGAAAGCCCGGGGCCCAACCCCGGGACUGCGUUUGGAACUGCGUGGCUGGAGUGCAGGAGGGGCAGGCGGAAUUCCUGGUGUUGGGGUGAAAUGCGGAGAUAUCAAGAGGAACACCGGGUGCGGAGGGGGGCUGCUGGACUGCAACUGACGUUGAGGCCCGAAAGCGUGGGGAGCAAACAGGAUUAGAUACCCUGGUAGUC
rnacentral:rRNA from 1 species